GACGUAGGGGGCAAGCGUUGUCCGGAAUCAUUGGGCGUAAAGCGCGUGUAGGCGGCCAGAAAAGUCCGCUGUGAAAACUCGAGGCUCAACUUCGAGCUGUCGGUGGAAACUUUCUGGCUAGAGUCCGGAAGAGGAGAAUGGAAUUCCUGGUGUAGCGGUGAAAUGCGCAGAUAUCAGGAAGAACACCCGUGGCGAAGGCGGUUCUCUGGGACGGUACUGACGCUGAGACGCGAAAGCGUGGGGAGCGAACAGG
rnacentral:rRNA from 1 species